UAGCUCAGUUGGUAAAGAAUCUGCUUGCAAUGCAGGAAGCCCAGGUUCAAUCCCUGG
rnacentral:tRNA from 1 species